rnacentral:tRNA from 2 species
AGAUCAACGAAGCUGAACCAUAUCCCGCCGCUCAUAACGGUCUGGUUGCAGGUUCGAGUCCUGCCGGGCCCACCA